rnacentral:rRNA from 1 species
GAGGGUUUGAUCCUGGCUCAGGAUGAACGCUGGCGGCGUGCCUAAUACAUGCAAGUCGAGCGAACGGACGAGAAGCUUGCUUCUCUGAUGUUAGCGGCGGACGGGUGAGUAACACGUGGAUAACCUACCUAUAAGACUGGGAUAACUUCGGGAAACCGGAGCUAAUACCGGAUAAUAUUUUGAACCGCAUGGUUCAAAAGUAAAAGACGGUCUUGCUGUCACUUAUAGAUGGAUCCGCGCUGCAUUAGCUAGUUGGUAAGGUAACGGCUUACCAAGGCAACGAUGCAUAGCCGACCUGAGAGGGUGAUCGGCCACACUGGAACUGAGACACGGUCCAGACUCCUACGGGAGGCAGCAGUAGGGAAUCUUCCGCAAUGGGCGAAAGCCUGACGGAGCAACGCCGCGUGAGUGAUGAAGGUCUUCGGAUCGUAAAACUCUGUUAUUAGGGAAGAACAUAUGUGUAAGUAACUGUGCACAUCUUGACGGUACCUAAUCAGAAAGCCACGGCUAACUACGUGCCAGCAGCCGCGGUAAUACGUAGGUGGCAAGCGUUAUCCGGAAUUAUUGGGCGUAAAGCGCGCGUAGGCGGUUUUUUAAGUCUGAUGUGAAAGCCCACGGCUCAACCGUGGAGGGUCAUUGGAAACUGGAAAACUUGAGUGCAGAAGAGGAAAGUGGAAUUCCAUGUGUAGCGGUGAAAUGCGCAGAGAUAUGGAGGAACACCAGUGGCGAAGGCGACUUUCUGGUCUGUAACUGACGCUGAUGUGCGAAAGCGUGGGGAUCAAACAGGAUUAGAUACCCUGGUAGUCCACGCCGUAAACGAUGAGUGCUAAGUGUUAGGGGGUUUCCGCCCCCUUAGUGCUGCAGCUAACGCAUUAAGC